rnacentral:rRNA from 1 species
ACGGAAGGCAGCAGUGGGGAAUAUUGGGCAAUGGGCGCAAGCCUGACCCAGCAACGCCGCGUGAAGGAAGAAGGCUUUCGGGUUGUAAACUUCUUUUAUGAGGGACGAAGGACGUGACGGUACCUCAUGAGUAAGCCACGGCUAACUACGUGCCAGCAGCCGCGGUAAUACGUAGGUGGCAAGCGUUAUCCGGAUUUACUGGGUGUAAAGGGCGCGUAGGCGGGAAGGCAAGUCAGGUGUGAAAUCUAUGGGCUUAACCCAUAAACUGCAUUUGAAACUGUCUUUCUUGAGUGCUGGAGAGGUAGACGGAAUUCCUUGUGUAGCGGUGAAAUGCGUAGAUAUAAGGAAGGACACCAGUGGCGAAGGCGGUCUACUGGACAGUAACUGACGCUGAGGCGCGAAAGCGUGGGGAGCAAACAGGAUUAGAUACCCUGGUA